GAGGUAGAGCACUCAAUGGGCUAGGGUGGCCCCAUUUCGCCUUACCAACCCCAGGGAAACUCCGAAUACAGGCCUAGAUCGUUUGUACAGACAGACUUUUGGGGUGCUAAGAUCCAAAGUCGAGAGGGAAACAGCCCAGAUCGUACGCUAAGGUCCCUAAGCAAUCACUUAGUGGAAAAGGAAGUGAUCGAGCGAUGACAACCAGGAGGUGGGCUUGGAAGCAGCCAUCCUUUGAAGAAA
rnacentral:rRNA from 15 species